GGGCACUCGACUGCAACAUAAGUCAACCGCAUGGGGACUACCACGCUCUCACCCACCUUGACCACAUCUAUUGCAGCAGGUCCCAAACCUUUGCCCCUCUCUACUACCUUGUCCAGGUGGGUCUCCCGGUACACAGCCAUGGACUGCCAUCUUGCUGGAGCAGGGGCCGCCUGGGGUGAAAAAUCCUAAAAUAUAUUCUCAGCUGACUGCUACUAUCUCCUGUUGUCGUCUUC